AGACAGACGCAGGAGCCAGAGACAGAGGGACGGAGACCAAGGCUCAGAGAAGUAGUUCAGGAAGAGUGAGAAGAGGGGAACCAGAGAUUUAAAAGGAGAAGGAGAAAGAAGAGGAGCCGAGCAUUCCCAGAGAACGACAGACGGACUCAAGGAAGUGGAGGUCAGAGCCCUCUUCCCAAGCUGGCAGAAGCCUCCCGCUCUCUUUGAAUUGGGCCAAAGGGGUCCAGCCGAUCAGGUCUCUAGGGAAGAGGUGUCCCUGCGCUGCUGGAGAACUUCCCCAAGCGCUCAGCUGGGAAGCACCUGCCCUUCAACCAGAGGAUUUACUCCAAACUUCAAGUCCAGCUCCUUAGAAAGUAGAAGACGGUCUUUUCCUCAGAUGAGAAAACCAAGGCACUGAAAGAUGGAACAGAACAGAUACUGGACCCAAAUGCUGCUUUUCUGACUCCACUCAUUACAAACUGCUUUCUCAGCACCAAACUUGGAAGAUAUGGUCCUUGCCUUAUGGGAGUAUCUUGCACACAUCUAGCUCUAGCUCAGCACAGUUCUGACUGUUUCCGCCUGGUCUGUAUCUGUUCCCCAUCAGAGGCCCAGCCCUUCAGCAGCCAAGAUAAAAGAGAUGGAUGGAGGUGAGUUUGGGGGACACCCCUCCCUGCAAGCCCAGAGCUAGAGCCCUAGUUCUGACAGGGGCUCCCUGAGGAGGGUUGGGUGGGAGGGUGAAGAAUUCCAAGCUCUCUGGAAGCCCUGUCCCCACCCAUCCCCACUCUGCCUUAGCCCUUCCUCUCUUCCUAAGGUCUAGUUCCUAAGGCCUCCUCCAGGCAGGCGCCAAGACAGCAAUCAUCCCUUCCUCCAAAAACGCACUUCAGCAGGAAGCCCUGUCUAGGCACCCUGUCCCCACCUCCCUGUGGCUCACCUGCCCAUAAAUAGUAAUAGUAAAAUUGACCAUUUGGUGAAUACCUAUUAUGUUCCAAACACAUUACUUAUAAGCUCUCCAAUCUCAUCACAGCCCCUGCAGAGUAAGUUUUAUCACUAUUUUGCAGAGGAAAACACAAAAGAAGGAAAGCUAAAAAUAUUGCUCUAGGUAUGCACUUAAAAAGCAGUAGAACUGACAUUCAAACCUGUAGGCAAAACCUUAUGCCACCUCACCACCCUAUCCUUAAGCCCUGGUUCUGCUCCCAAAGACCUAUCAUUGCCCUUCAGAGACUGCUGCCCCCCAGAACCUCACUACUCCCAGAAUUUAAGCCUUUCUGACUCCAGUUCACACAGUGGGGGAGGGGCAAGGGAGCUGGAAAGCCAGAAUUAGAACCUGAGUCCCUGAAAGGGCCAGCUGAGUCCAGGAGACCUGGGGGGCCCUCUCCAGCCCUGCUCCAGUGAUCAGUGUUGGGAGGAGGGGGCUGGGGAAGACAAGGAGUAAUUGUCCCUAGGGUUCUCAGCUCUCAUCCUGGAAGACCCCAUCACUUCUCAUAGAAAUUCUGUCUUUUCUCCAAGGGGACUCCAGGACCCAUUUCAGUACUAAGUCCAUCUGCCUUCCAAGGCUGCCACCAAGGGGACAGGGUGAGACUUGAUUGUGGGUUGACAUGUGUCACCCAAACUGACUUUCAUAACUUCAACCUGUUCAGAGAGACUUCAGUAGCCCACAU